AGAGUUUGAUCCUGGCUCAGAAUCAACGCUGGCGGCGUGCCUAACACAUGCAAGUCGAACGAGAAAGUGGGAGCAAUCCUGCGAGUACAGUGGCAGACGGGUGAGUAACACGUGAACAACCUACCCUCGAGUGGGGAAUAACACCGCGAAAGCGGUGCUAAUACCGCAUAACAUCCCAAGGACGCAUGUUCUGGGGAUCAAAGGCGAAAGUCGCUUGAGGAGGGAUUCGCGCCUGAUUAGCUAGUUGGUGAGGUAACGGCCCACCAAGGCGACGAUCAGUAGCCGGCCUGAGAGGGCGAACGGCCACACUGGAACUGAGACACGGUCCAGACUCCUACGGGAGGCAGCAGUGGGGAAUUUUGCGCAAUGGGCGAAAGCCUGACGCAGCAACGCCGCGUGGAGGAUGAAGGCCUUCGGGUCGUAAACUCCUGUCAGGGGGGACGAAAAAAAUGACUGUACCCCUUGAGGAAGCCACGGCUAACUCCGUGCCAGCAGCCGCGGUAAUACGGAGGUGGCAAGCGUUGUUCGGAAUUACUGGGCGUAAAGGGCGCGUAGGCGGCUUUACAAGUCAGAUGUGAAAGCCCCGGGCUUAACUCGGGAAUUGCAUCUGAAACUGUUUUGCUUGAGUCCUGGAGGGGGUAGUGGAAUUCCCAGUGUAGCGGUGAAAUGCGUAGAUAUUGGGAGGAACACCUGUGGCGAAGGCGGCUACCUGGACAGUGACUGACGCUGAUGCGCGAAAGCUAGGGGAGCAAACGGGAUUAGAUACCCCGGUAGUCCUAGCCGUAAACGAUGGGCACUUG
rnacentral:rRNA from 1 species